UACGAAGGGGGCUAGCGUUGCUCGGAAUCACUGGGCGUAAAGCGCGCGUAGGCGGCUUGCUAAGUCAGGGGUGAAAUCCUGGAGCUCAACUCCAGAACUGCCUUUGAUACUGGCGAUCUCGAGUCCGGGAGAGGUGAGUGGAACUGCGAGUGUAGAGGUGAAAUUCGUAGAUAUUCGCAAGAACACCAGUGGCGAAGGCGGCUCACUGGCCCGGUACUGACGCUGAGGUGCGAAAGCGUGGGGAGCAAACAGG
rnacentral:rRNA from 1 species